rnacentral:rRNA from 1 species
CACGGGGGGAGCAAGCGUUGUUCGGAAUCACUGGGCGUAAAGGGAGUCUAGGCGGUCAGGUAAGUGGGAUGUGAAAUCCCUCGGCUCACCCGAGGACCUGCAUCCCAAACUGUCUGGCUUGAGUAUGGGAGAGGAUGAGGGAAUUCCUGGUGUAGCGGUGAAAUUCGUAGAUAUUCGGAAGAACACCAGUGGCGAAGGCGACUUACUGGACACAUAUUGACGCUGAGGUGCGAAAGCGUGGGGAGCAAACAGG